GUGUCAUGAUGUGGGCAUUUUCUUAGUAAUUCCUUGUACCUAUCCCAAGCAUCAAGAACUGCUUCAUCAUUCAUUUGUCUAAAGAGACAAAUUUCAUUUUUGAACUU